rnacentral:rRNA from 1 species
AACGUAGGUGGCGAGCGUUAUCCGGAUUCAUUGGGCGUAAAGAGCUUGUAGGUGGCGGCGUAAGUUGGACGUGAAAUCGCCCGGCUCAACCGGGCGGGGUCGUUCAAUACUGCGCGGCUGGAGGAGGUCAGAGGGAAGUGGAAUUCCUGGUGUAGCAGUGAAAUGCGUAGAUAUCAGGAGGAACACCCGUGGCGAAGGCGGCUUCCUGGGGCCAUCCUGACACUGAGACGCGAAAGCGUGGGGAGCGAACAGG